AGAGGGUUCAGUGCUCAUCCUGGAUCAGCUGUGGGUUUGGGGAUGCCCCGAGGAGCAGAUUUAUGGGGCUGCAGCCCCAGUCAGGGCAGGAGGUUUCAUCCCACUGCACCUUCACCUAAAGGGAUCAAUCAGCACCACAGGACCCUGAACCUGAGCCACAAAGAGCCCAGCCCAGGCUCCUCUCAGCAAGAUGCCCCACUCUGAACCCUGGCCAGGCAGAGAAGACUCCUGGGAGCACCUCAGGCUUCCUUAUCCUCUGGAAUCUCACGGUAUUUACACAAUUCCCAGCCUGAGGAGAUGAGAUGUGACAGUCUCUGCAGUUGUUCCCUUCUAUCCCAGUUCUAACUGGGAAAGACAGCCUGGUGUUUGUCAGCUC
rnacentral:lncRNA from 12 species